rnacentral:rRNA from 1 species
UACCACAGCCAUAUCACCCUGUAGCCCAAUACUGGUUGCCCACUGAAGCUAAGCAGGAUUGAGCCUGGUUAGUACCUGGAUGGGAGACCUCCUUGGAAAUCUAGGUUGCUGCUGGAA